rnacentral:misc_RNA from 1 species
UUAUUUCUCUUGUUUAAUUUUGGAAGGGAGGUGGGUCAUGCGACUCCGUCUUUGAAUUCAUCUCUUUUUGACCAUGUGGGUAGAUUAGUACUGAGAGUGUUAGGAUUAUUGCUCGUUGAUUCUUUGCUUGUACUGAUGUUUGAUGAUGAUUAUUUCUUUCAUUUCUCUCCAAAUCUCCUGGUAGGUUAAAGCUGCUUACAGAAAGA